GACGAACGCUGGCGGCGUGCUUAACACAUGCAAGUCGUACGGUAAGGCCCUUUCGGGGGUACACGAGUGGCGAACGGGUGAGUAACACGUGAGUAACCUGCCCACAACUUUGGGAUAACGCUAGGAAACUGGUGCUAAUACUGGAUAUGUGCUCCUGCUGCAUGGUGGGGGUUGGAAAGCUCCGGCGGUUGUGGAUGGACUCGCGGCCUAUCAGCUUGUUGGUGGGGUAGUGGCCUACCAAGGCGGCGACGGGUAGCCGGCCUGAGAGGGUGACCGGCCACAUUGGGACUGAGAUACGGCCCAGACUCCUACGGGAGGCAGCAGUGGGGAAUAUUGCACAAUGGGCGCCAGCCUGAUGCAGCAACGCCGCGUGCGGGAUGACGGCCUUCGGGUUGUAAACCGCUUUCAGCAGGGACGAAGCUUUUUGUGACGGUACCUGCAGAAGAAGCACCGGCUAACUACGUG
rnacentral:rRNA from 1 species